rnacentral:rRNA from 1 species
AUUGAACGCUGGCGGCAGGCCUAACACAUGCAAGUCGAGCGGAAACGAGUUAUCUGAACCUUCGGGGAACGAUAACGGCGUCGAGCGGCGGACGGGUGAGUAAUGCCUAGGAAAUUGCCCUGAUGUGGGGGAUAACCAUUGGAAACGAUGGCUAAUACCGCAUGAUGCCUACGGGCCAAAGAGGGGGACCUUCGGGCCUCUCGCGUCAGGAUAUGCCUAGGUGGGAUUAGCUAGUUGGUGAGGUAAGGGCUCACCAAGGCGACGAUCCCUAGCUGGUCUGAGAGGAUGAUCAGCCACACUGGAACUGAGACACGGUCCAGACUCCUACGGGAGGCAGCAGUGGGGAAUAUUGCACAAUGGGCGCAAGCCCGAUGCAGCCAUGCCGCGUGUAUGAAGAAGGCCUUCGGGUUGUAAAGUACUUUCAGUCGUGAGGAAGGUAGUGUAGUUAAUAGCUGCAUUAUUUGACGUUAGCGACAGAAGAAGCACCGGCUAACUCCGUGCCAGCAGCCGCGGUAAUACGGAGGGUGCGAGCGUUAAUCGGAAUUACUGGGCGUAAAGCGCAUGCAGGUGGUUUGUUAAGUCAGAUGUGAAAGCCCGGGGCUCAACCUCGGAUUAGCAUUUUGAAACUGGCAGACUAGAGUACUUGUAGAGGGGGGCUAGAAUUUCAGGUGCACCCUCAAAAUGCCUAGAAUUCUGAAGGGUAUACCCGGG